AUUGAGCGCUGGCGGAAUGCUUUACACAUGCAAGUCGAGCGGCAGCACGGGGGCAACCCUGGUGGCGAGCGGCGAACGGGUGAGUAAUACAUCGGAACAUGCCCAGUCGUGGGGGAUAACACUUCGAAAGAAGUGCUAAUACCGCAUACGUCCUGAGGGGGAAAGCGGGGGAUCGCAAGACCUCGCGCGAUUGGAGUGGCCGAUGUCAGAUUAGCUAGUUGGUGGGGUAAAGGCCUACCAAGGCAACGAUCUGUAGCUGGUCUGAGAGGAUGAUCAGCCACACUGGGACUGAGACACGGCCCAGACUCCUACGGGAGGCAGCAGUGGGGAAUUUUGGACAAUGGGGGCAACCCUGAUCCAGCCAUUCCGCGUGAGUGAAGAAGGCCUUCGGGUUGUAAAGCUCUUUCGGCAGGAACGAAACGGUGAGCUCUAACAUAGCUUGCUAAUGACGGUACCUGAAGAAGAAGCACCGGCUAACUACGUG
rnacentral:rRNA from 1 species